AGGAUGCAUAUGUGUACGCAUAUCGACGUAUAUAUAACUGAUAGCAAGUGUAAACACACGUAUAAACAUCAUUGUACAUAAAUCAGUGUACAUAUACACAUUAAUAGCUGUAUAAACAUCAUUAGUGUAUCUAUAUAUGGUCAUAUAUGUUAAUGUAUAUAUAAAUGUAUAUAUUAGUGCAUUAUAGAGAUACAGUUAUGCACUUUGCACACACACACAUGAAUGUAUUUUUUAAACACUAAUAACUGUAUAUAUAGCGGAUAAAAAGUGUCUAUAUGGUCGUAUUUAUCAAUCAGUUUAUAUAUAAAUGUAUGUAUGCACUACCAAUGCGUAAGGGUGCAUGUGUGUGCAUAUCAGUGUAUAUGUAACUGAUAGUAAGUUUAUACAUACACACAUAAACAUAUCAGUAUAUAUGUAUCUUAUAUAUACAUGCUGUAUAUAUCUAUAUAAACUGUUAAUAAAUGUCUCUAUGGUCAUAUAUAUUAAUAUAGAUAGAAUGCAUGUAUCAGUGUACACAUACAAGACAUUAGUUAUCUGCUAUAUAUAAAGGGUUAUUAGUGUGUAAAAAAUACAUUGAUGUAUGCGUGAUGUCUGUUUAUAUACGAUGUGUAUAUACUGAUAUGUAUGUAUAAAGUGCAUAAUUGUUUAUAUACAGUGCACUAAUAUAUACAUUUUUAUGGACAUUAUGUAUAUGGCUAUAUAUACACUUACUAUCAUUUUAUACAGUUACUAACGUAUAUGUACACUGAUUUAUAUACUAUACACACACUCAGACUCAAACUCACAUUC
rnacentral:lncRNA from 1 species